UAAUGUUUUAUCAAAAGUCACAAACUUAGGGCUUAGAGUUAAAGGGUGGAGUUUAGAAUUUAGGGUUUAGGGUUUAGGGUUUAGGGUUUAGAGUUUAGAGUUUAGAGUUUAGGGUUUAGAGUUUAGGGUUUAGGGUUUAGGGUUUAGGGUUUUGGGUUUUGGGUUUAGGGUUUAGGGUUUAGAGUUUAGGGUUUAGGGUUUAGAGUUGAGAAAUGAGGUUGUGGGGAUAAGAUUUCAAAUUUUUUAAAAAUAAAAAAAUUAAAAUUUUCAAAGGAUAAACUUAGAAAUGUGCUAUUUUGAUCAUUUUAGUUUUUGAGUGCUAUUUUUGUGAUAUAAACUUAGAAAUGUGCUAUUUUGGAGAUUUGCCCUUUUUUAUAUGUCAAAUUUUUCAUAGAAGUUUA
rnacentral:lncRNA from 1 species